GGCCGGGUAUCCUGACCGUGCGAAGGUAGCAUAAUAAUUAGUCUUUUAAUUGAAGACCGGAAUGAAGGGUCGGACAAAAAGCAACCUGUCUCAAUCAAAACCCUCUAAUUUAACUUUUAAGUGAAAAGGCUUAAAUAUUCUCGKAGGACGACAAGACCCUAUAAAACUUCAUACACUUACCUUAACCUUCNAUUUAUCCGUGAAAAGUUGGGUACGUAAAAUGUAUUCCGUUGGGGCGACGAAAGNACAAUUUGUAACUGCUUUUUUUARAAAACAUUCAUAAAUGAAACUUUUGAUCCUUUUUCAAGAUUAAAAGAAAAAGUUACUUUAGGGAUAACAGCGUAAUUUUUUUUGAGAGUCCUUAUCGACAAAAAAGCUUGCGACCUCGAUGUUGAAUUAAAAUACCCUUGWGGUGCAGCAGCCU
rnacentral:rRNA from 1 species